rnacentral:rRNA from 1 species
GACAGAGGAUGCAAGCGUUAUCCGGAAUCACUGGGCGUAAAGCGUCUGUAGGUGGUCAAAUAAGUCAACUGUUAAAUCUUGAGGCUUAACCUCAAAAUCGCAGUCGAAACUAUUAGACUAGAGUAUAGUAGGGGUAAAGGGAAUUUCCAGUGGAGCGGUGAAAUGCGUAGAGAUUGGAAAGAACACCGAUGGCGAAGGCACUUUACUGGGCUAUUACUAACACUCAGAGACGAAAGCUAGGGUAGCAAAUGGG